UGUGUGAGAGAGAGAGAGAGAGAGAGAGAGAGAGAGAGAGAGAGAGAGAGAGAGAGAGAGAGAGAGAGAGAGAGAGAGAGAAUGCGGUUGUGCUUGCAAUGGAAGCGUACAAAAGGUUGGAGAAGGUAGGGCAAUGGGACUCACAGGAAGGUGUAAAGAACGAGAGAGGAAGCGUACUAUCAGAUCGUUCGUUUUGAGGUCAUACAAAUCUUGUAUAUGGAUGGUGAUGCUGACCACAUACCUCGUUCAUCCGUGUUUAAGAAGCCAUGAACAAUAUUAAAGACAUUCGGCUACUGUCAUUGAACAGGUUGUUGAAGAAAAUAAGUAGUUAAAGAGUUAUGUAUUCAAGUUGACGACUUCUUUGAGUAUGAAUGAGCGUGGCAAGUUCCCUUCUCAAGAAAAUUUGAAAUGGGUCAAUGCCGUUGUGACACAUCUCAACAACUAAUCAGCCAAAGGAUAUUGAAGAGGAACAAAACAAUGAGUGUUGAGUUGCCCAAGGAAGCCAAGGUAAUCAAGAGCCCAGUCAACGGACCAUUUUCUCAAGUUUUAAAAUCUGGUAUGUGAAAUUUAGAUUCUAGCAAUGAAAUAUUGGAGAACCUCAUGCAUGUAAAGAUUAAUAUUCCUUUUUUGCAUGUUAUUAAACAAGUUCCUACUUAUACAAAAGUUCUCAAAUAUUUGUAUACUGUUAAGGGAAAGCACCAUAUUAAGAAGACAACAUUUCUGACCGAACAAGUUAGUGCUCUAAUUGAGCAAUGAAUUCCUCCUAAGUACAAGAAUCCUGCUUGUUCAAUUAUUAUACAAUAUUGAGAAUUAUGAGUC